GACAGAGGGGGCAAGCGUUGCUCGGAAUUACUGGGCGUAAAGGGCGCGUAGGCGGGAUGGCAAGUCGGUCGUGAAAUCCCUCGGCUCAACUGAGGAUCGUCGAUCGAUACUGCCGUUCUUGAGGAUUGCAGAGGAGACUGGAAUUCCCGGUGUAGCGGUGAAAUGUGUAGAGAUCGGGAGGAACACCGGUGGCGAAGGCGGGUCUCUGGGCAAUUCCUGACGCUGAGGCGCGAAAGCAUGGGGAGCGAACAGG
rnacentral:rRNA from 1 species